CAGCGCCACGAGUGGGAAUCGCGAUUAUUGGGCCUAAAGCGUCCGUAGCCGGUUCAGUAAAUCUUUAGUGAAAUCGUUCUGCUUAACAGAACGGCGUGCUAAAGAGAUUGUUGGACUAGGAACCGGGAGGAGUCAGAAGUAUAUUAGGGGGAGCGGUAAAAUGCAAUAAUCCUUAAUGGACUACCUGUGGCGAAGGCGUCUGACUAGAACGGAUUCGACGGUGAGGGACGAAAGCUAGGGGAGCGAACCGGAUUAGAUACCCGAGUAGUCC
rnacentral:rRNA from 1 species